rnacentral:tRNA from 1 species
GCAGUGGUAGCUCAGUGGUAGAGUCCUCACCUUCCGUGCAGAGACCCGGGUUCUAUUCCUGGCCAAGGCC